rnacentral:rRNA from 1 species
UACGGAGGAUCCGAGCGUUAUCCGGAUUUAUUGGGUUUAAAGGGUGCGCAGGCGGGAGAUUAAGUCGGCGGUGAAAUUUUGCGGCUCAACUGUAAAAGUGCCUUCGAAACUGGUUUCCUUGAGUGUAGAUGAAGUAGGCGGAAUUUGUGGUGUAGCGGUGAAAUGCAUAGAUAUCACGAGGAACUCCGAUUGCGCAGGCAGCUUACUAAACUCUACUGACGCUCAGGCACGAAGGCGUGGGAUCAAACAGGAUUAGAUACCCUGGUAGU